UAAGUCCUACUCGUUACAUUUUCAAAACAGGCUCGUAACUUUUGCUUGAAUGCACUUGAGGGGAAUUAUUUCAUGCCACUGCUUGUCUACAAACCGAUUUGAGCCUAAAGAGUAACAUAUGAUAGGAAAUCCUGUUCCUGUAUUAAUCGCCAGAGGACAUCGCAUAAAAAGAGAUGACGUGUGCCAAAUUAAGGGGCUAAAAGUGGGUUGGUGUUUUUAUUCAUUUAUUUAUUUAUUUAUUUUUUUGCCACAACACUGGAACGACUAGCCCUACUGAAGAGGCGCGAGCAUAAAAGGAGUGACUUUUUUAAGUGUCAGGGAGAGAAAAGAAAGAGCGCUAACUUCACUCAGAGAUGGAGAAAGAUAAGAAAAACAGGACAGGAAUGGAAGAGAUAUAUUUAAAGGUCCAGCCUGCCUGGUAAGGGGUCCAGUCAUUAUUGGACUUAACUUAUGGACUCGGUUCACAGGAAGUGCAGGAUGGACAUCUGAGCCUUUUGGUCCAUUGGAUCCUGGAUCUCCUCCAGUGUGUGAAAACAUUGAUGUUCCAACCUCAUCUUCAUCGUCGUGAUCGGACCACACAGUGGAGAGUAUUAUAGUUGGCUCUUUCGAAAAUAUGCCCCUCUGCUGCCUGUGAUGACCUCUGACUGUGGUUGCUAGGUUCCACCUUGGCAAGCAAGAGGGAGAGGAAAAAAAAGAAACAUCAGGUUUGCUCCGACCACUUGUGAUUCAUCUAUUCAAGUAAUCCUGCCUUUGGAGCAGAUAUACUCUCUGCUCUAUGACCUUCACUGGACAAGCAUUGGUUUCAGGGCUGUGAUUUUCAGGUCCCUACUGUGUUUGGUGUGGAUGCCUGUGGAGACACUAAUACAAUCCAUAGAGCACAGCUUUAAUAUGGUGCUGAGAAUCCUCUUCUAUUCAACCUUCAGCUUUCUAGAGGCACUUGGGCAAUCUUUAAGUUGCUAUUUUUAUGAAGCAAAAGGUAUCUGUCAUAAAACUACACUGAGACACUGAGACCACUUAACUAAAGGAAGAGACUGCUGUGUAUGUGUGCAUUAUCUCUUUAUACCUUUCGUCCGGUUUAUUGCCCUAAAAGCCCUUGGGCCUUUUUUUACUCCCAUAUAAAUAGUCGUUUACCGAGUCAAUACGCCCAGUUAAUGUUAAGUCACAAUAGCCAGUAUAUGGCAGUGAUCCAUACCAAGUGAUGUGCUUAAGGGUAGUGUAAUGUUUUCAUGUCAAGUCAAUGUUUUUAUAUCUCAGUAAGUGCUGUCACUGCAACAAGGCUUCAUUGGUGAAGCAGGGCGGUCUUAAGUGAUUUGAAAAAUAAAAGCGUAUGUUUACCUCAUCCUUAUGGCCUU